rnacentral:rRNA from 1 species
GACGAACGCUGGCGGCGUGCUUAACACAUGCAAGUCGAACGGAAAGGCCCUGCUUUUGUGGGGUGCUCGAGUGGCGAACGGGUGAGUAACACGUGAGUAACCUGCCCUUGACUUUGGGAUAACUUCAGGAAACUGGGGCUAAUACCGGAUAGGAGCUCCUGCUGCAUGGUGGGGGUUGGACAGUUUCGGCGGUUGGGGAUGGACUCGCGGCUUAUCAGCUUGUUGGUGGGGUCGUGGCUUACCAAGGCUUUGUCGGGUAGCCGGCCUGAGAGGGUGACCGGCCACAUUGGGACUGAGAUACGGCCCAGACUCCUACGGGAGGCAGAAGUGGGGAAUAUUGCACAAUGGGCGGAAGCCUGAUGCAGCAACGCCGCGUGCGGGAUGACGGCCUUCGGGUUGUAAACCGCUUUCGCCUGUGACGAAGCGUGAGUGACGGUAAUGGGUAAAGAAGCACCGGCUAACUACGUG